rnacentral:rRNA from 1 species
UACGGAGGAUGCGAGCGUUAUCCGGAUUUAUUGGGUUUAAAGGGUGCGUAGGCGGACGCUUAAGUCAGCGGUAAAAUUGCGGGGCUCAACCUCGUCGAGCCGUUGAAACUGGGUGUCUUGAGUGGGCGAGAAGUACGCGGAAUGCGUGGUGUAGCGGUGGAAUGCAUAGAUAUCACGCAGAACUCCGAUUGCGAAGGCAGCGUACCGGCGCCCAACUGACGCUGAAGCACGAAGGCGUGGGUAUCGAACAGG